rnacentral:rRNA from 1 species
AUUGAACGCUGGCGGCAGGCCUAACACAUGCAAGUCGAGCGAGUGGCGGACGGGUGAGUAAUGACUGGGAAAAUACCUGAGGGAGAGGGAUAAUAACAGGAAACGGUAGCUAAGACAGCAGAAGAUCAGAUGGGCCUAAAUUGGAUUAGCUAGUAGGUAGGGUAACGGCUCACCUAGGCGACGAUCCCUAGCUGGUCUGAGAGGAUGACCAGCCACAUGGGAACGGAGACACGGUCCAGACUCCUACGGGAGGCAGCAGUGGGGAAUAUUGCACAAUGGACGAAAGUCUGAUGCAGCCAUGCCGCGUGUGUUAAGAAGGCUUUCGGAUUGUAAAGCACUUUCAUCGGGGCGGCGUUACCCGCCGAAGAAGCACCGGCUAACUCCGUGCCAGCAGCCGCGGUAAUUC